rnacentral:misc_RNA from 1 species
UCCAAAUGAAUUGAGUGCUUCUCGAAAAUCCGAAAAUUAUGAUGCUAAUGACGGUGGCAGCCUUGAAAGAAAGAAUAAAGUUGAUGAGAUGCAUGGGCUGAACCCAAAUUAUGUGAUUGAUAACUUGAUAAGAAGUCAUAUUUCAUCAUCAGAAGCACGGAAUGUGCAUCAUGAGAAUGAUGCAGGCGAGGCAUCCUCCAGUUACCCAACCAAGAGAAAUGCUAGUCCAGUUAGACAGUGGA